rnacentral:rRNA from 1 species
GCGGCGAACGGGUGAGUAACACGUGGGUGAUCUGCCCUGCACUUCGGGAUAAGCCUGGGAAACUGGGUCUAAUACCGGAUAUGACCAAAGGCUGCAUGGCUUUUGGUGGAAAGGUUUACUGGUGCAGGAUGGGCCCGCGGCCUAUCAGCUUGUUGGUGGGGUAAUGGCCUACCAAGGCGACGACGGGUAGCCGACCUGAGAGGGUGACCGGCCACACUGGGACUGAGACACGGCCCAGACUCCUACGGGAGGCAGCAGUGGGGAAUAUUGCACAAUGGGCGAAAGCCUGAUGCAGCGACGCCGCGUGAGGGAUGACGGCCUUCGGGUUGUAAACCUCUUUCAGCAGGGACGAAGCGAAAGUGACGGUACCUGCAGAAGAAGCACCGGCCAACUACGUGCCAGCAGCCGCGGUAAUACGUAGGGUGCGAGCGUUGUCCGGAAUUACUGGGCGUAAAGAGCUCGUAGGCGGUUUGUCGCGUCGUCUGUGAAAACCAGCAGCUCAACUGCUGGCUUGCAGGCGAUACGGGCAGACUUGAGUACUGCAGGGGAGACUGGAAUUCCUGGUGUAGCGGUGAAAUGCGCAGAUAUCAGGAGGAACACCGGUGGCGAAGGCGGGUCUCUGGGCAGUAACUGACGCUGAG